AUGCACACUGAAAAGAAUAUCGCCGAGGCCAUUUUUGGCACAUUGUUCAACAUUGCUGAGAAGACGAAGGAUAAUACUAAGGCUAGACUUGAUGUAAUGAAGCUAUGUGCUAGACCCGAACAAAACUUGCGACAACCUGAGGGCAAGAAAAACUGGAGGACGCCAAAGGCGAGGUUUGUUCUUACUAGGGAACAAAAGAAGGAGAUACUCAUGUGGUUCAAAACUUUGUUGUUCCCUGAUGGGAGGGCAGUGAAUCUUGAUAAAUUGAAGCUCAACGGGAUGAAGAGUCAUGAUUGGCACAUAUCGCUUGAGCGGUUAAUGCCGGUGAUGAUUCGAGGCUAUAUCCCUGAGGAUGAUUGGGAAGUAUUGGCAGAGCUUAGCUAUUUCUUCCAUGUUCUUUGUGCUAAAGAAGUAUCUCCUACUGUGACAGAUGAGAUGGAAGAACGGGCCCCCGAGUUGCUCUGCAAGCUAGAGAAGAUCUUUCCACCAUGA
rnacentral:rRNA from 1 species